rnacentral:rRNA from 1 species
UGGGGAAUAUUGCACAAUGGGCGAAAGCCUGAUGCAGCGACGCCGCGUGCGGGACGAAGGCCUUCGGGUUGUAAACCGCUUUUAAUUGGGAGCAAGCGAGAGUGAGUGUACCUUUUGAAUAAGCACCGGCUAACUACGUGCCAGCAGCCGCGGUAAUACGUAGGGUGCAAGCGUUAUCCGGAAUUAUUGGGCGUAAAGAGCUCGUAGGCGGUUUGUCACGCCUGGUGUGAAAGUCCAUCGCUUAACGGUGGAUCUGCGCCGGGUACGGGCAGGCUAGAGUGCAGUAGGGGAGAUUGGAAUUCCCGGUGUAACGGUGGAAUGUGUAGAUAUCGGGAAGAACACCAAUGGCGAAGGCAGAUCUCUGGGCUGUUACUGACGCUGAGGAGCGAAAGCAUGGGGAGCGAACAGGAUUAGAUACCCUGGUAGUCCAUGCCGUAAACGGUGGAUGCUGGAUGUGG